rnacentral:rRNA from 1 species
GAGUUUGAUCAUGGCUCAGAACGAACGCUGGCGGCGUGCUUAACACAUGCAAGUCGAACGAGAAAGUUCCUUCGGGAACGAGUAAAGUGGCGCACGGGUGAGUAAUACAUGGGUAAUCUACCUUCAAGUCGAGGAUAACUCCGCGAAAGUGGAGCUAAUACUGGAUAAGACCACAUCUCGUACGCGAGAAGGGGUAAAGGAUGACCUCUACAUGUAAGUUGUUGCUUGAAGAUGAGCUCAUGCACUAUUAGCUUGUUGGUGGGGUAAUGGCCUACCAAGGCUACGAUAGUUAGCCAACCUUAGAGGGUGAUUGGCCACACUGGAACUGAGAUACGGUCCAGACUCCUACGGGAGGCAGCAGUGAGGAAUAUUGCGCAAUGGGGGAAACCCUGACGCAGCAACGCCGUGUGAGUGAAGGAAGGCUCCUCGGUCGUAAAAAUCUGUCAGAUAAGAAGAAUCUUUCCAAGGGUAAAUAGCUUCUGAAGUUGACUGUACUAUCAGAGGAAGCCCCGGCUAACUCCGUGCCAGCAGCCGCGGUAAUACGGAGGGGGCAAGCGUUGUUCGGAAUUAUUGGGCGUAAAGGGCGUGUAGGUGGUUUUGUAAGUCAGACGUGAAAGCCCUCUGCUUAACAGAGGAAGUGCGUUUGAAACUGCAUUACUUGAGUACGAGAGAGGAGAGUGGAAUUUCCAGUGUAGCGGUGAAAUGCGUAGAUAUUGGAAAGAACACCGGUGGCGAAGGCGGCUCUCUGGCUCGUUACUGACACUGAAACGCGAAAGCUAGGGGAGCAAACGGGAUUAGAUACCCCGGUAGUCCUAGCCGUAAACGAUGGGCACUAGGUGUAGAGGGUAUCGACUCCUUCUGUGCCGCAGCAAACGCAUUAAGUGCCCCGCCUGGGGAGUACGGUCGCAAGGCUGAAACUCAAAGGAAUUGACGGGGGCCCGCACAAGCGGUGGAGCAUGUGGUUCAAUUCGACGCAACGCGAAAAACCUUACCUGGACUUGACAUCCCGAUGACCGAUACAGAAAUGUAUCUUUUCUUCGGAACAUCGGGACAGGUGCUGCAUGGCUGUCGUCAGCUCGUGUCGUGAGAUGUUGGGUUAAGUUCCGCAACGAGCGCAACCCUUGCCCUUAUUUGCCAACGGAUAAUGCCGGGAACUAUAAGGGAACUGUCGGUGAUAAACCGGAGGAAGGUGGGGAUGACGUCAAGUCCUCAUGGCCUUUAUGUCCAGGGCUACACACGUGCUACAAUGGCCUGUAUAAAGAGUUGCAAAGUCGCGAGACGGAGCCAAUCUCAAAAAACAGGUCUCAGUUCGGAUUGGAGUCUGCAACUCGACUCCAUGAAGCCGGAAUCGCUAGUAAUCGUGGAUCAGCAUGCCACGGUGAAUAUGUUCUCGGGCCUUGCACACAC